rnacentral:rRNA from 1 species
AGAAUCAACGCUGGCGGCGUGCCUAACACAUGCAAGCCGAACGAGAAAGUGGAGCAAUCCAUGAGUAAAGUGGCGACCGGGUGAGUAACACGUGACUAACCUACCUUUGAGUGGGGGAUAACAUCGGGAAACCGAUGCUAAUACCGCAUAACAUCGCAAGAUCAAAGCAGCAAUGCGCUUAAAGAGGGGGUCGCGGCUGAUUAGCUAGUUGGCGGGUAACGCCCACAAGGCGAAGAUCGGUA